rnacentral:rRNA from 1 species
UAUGUACCCUGCGAAUAAGCAUCGGCUAACUCCGUGCCAGCAGCCGCGGUAAUACGGAGGAUGCGAGCGUUAUCCGGAUUUAUUGGGUUUAAAGGGUGCGUAGGUGGGCUGUUAAGUCAGUGGUGAAAGUUUGUCGCUCAACGAUAAAAUUGCCGUUGAAACUGGUGGUCUUGAGUAUGGAUGAAGUAGGUGGAAUGCGUGGUGUAGCGGUGAAAUGCAUAGAGAUCACGCAGAACUCCGAUUGCGAAGGCAGCUUACUAAGGCAUAACUGACACUGAAGCACGAAAGCGUGGGUAUCAAACAGGAUUAGAUACCCUGGUAGUCCACGCAGUAAACGAUGAUUACUAGGAGUUUGCGAUAUAUUGUAAGCUCUACAGCGAAAGCGUUAAGUAAUCCACCUGGGGAGUACGCCGGCAACGGUGAAACUCAAAGGAAUUGACGGGGGCCCGCACAAG